rnacentral:rRNA from 1 species
UACGUAGGUGGCAAGCGUUGUCCGGAUUUACUGGGCGUAAAGAGCGCGCAGGCGGUCGUUCAAGUCGCGUGUGAAAGCCCCCGGCUCAACUGGGGAGGGUCACGCGAUACUGAUCGACUGGAAGGCAGGAGAGGGUAGUGGAAUUCCCGGUGUAGUGGUGAAAUGCGUAGAUAUCGGGAGGAACACCAGUGGCGAAGGCGGCGACCUGGGCCAAUACUGACGCUGAGGUGCGAAAGCGUGGGGAGCAAACAGG